GCCGCCAUAGCUCAGUCUGUUAUAGCGUUGGUCUAGUAUGCCGAAGGUCCCAGGGUCGACCUCUGCUGGUGGCA
rnacentral:tRNA from 1 species